AAAAGAACCUGAAACCGUGUACGUACAAGCAGUGGGAGCCCCACCACUAAGCCAGUGGUGAACUCCACAUACGCAUCCUUUGCUGAGGAUACGGUUAACGGAGCGAAAGCGACGUUCAACCGCAAAAGAAGCAGAGGGGGCUUAGUGGUGGGGUGACUGCGUACCUUUUGUAUAAUGGGUCAGCGACUUAUAUUCUGUAGCAAGGUUAACCGAAUAGGGGAGCCGGAGGGAAACCGAGUCUUAAUUGGGCGUUAAGUUGCAGGGUAUAGACCCGAAACCCGGUGAUCUAGCCAUGGGCAGGUUGAAGGUUGGGUAACACUAACUGGAGGACCGAACCGAC
rnacentral:rRNA from 2 species